UACAGAGGUCUCAAGCGUUGUUCGGAUUCAUUGGGCGUAAAGGGUGCGUAGGUGGCGCUGUAAGUCGGGUGUGAAAUUUCGGAGCUUAACUCCGAAACUGCAUUCGAUACUGCGGUGCUUGAGGACUGGAGAGGAGACUGGAAUUCAUGGUGUAGCAGUGAAAUGCGUAGAGAUCAUGAGGAAGACCAGUGGCGAAGGCGGGUCUCUGGGCCGAUACUGACGUGAGGAGCGAAAGCGUGGGGAGCGAACAGG
rnacentral:rRNA from 1 species